rnacentral:tRNA from 1 species
UAUUGGAUUCGGGACUGACGGGGCUCGAACCCGC